UAGGAUUAGAUACCCUAUUACUCUAAAUUUAUUCCAGAACGAUAAUUUGAAAUUAACAAAAUUGGCGGUUUUUUUACUAUUUAGAGGAGUUUGUUUUUAGAAAGGAUACUACCCCCAUCAGUUUACUUUAAUUCAAGUUUUUAUAUCGCUGUUGUUAAAAUAUAAUUGAAUUUCAUAUUUUAAAUUUUAAUUUAAAAUACUUCAAGUCAAGGUGAAACUAUAUUAAAGCAAAAAUGAACUACAAUAAAGAUUUUUAUUACGAAAUAAAGAAAUUAAUUUUUUAGGAAGGAGGAUUUAAAAGUAAAGUUGAUAAAACUAUGAAUCAAGAUCAGGAAAAUGCACAUAUCGCCCGUC
rnacentral:rRNA from 1 species